UCCUGGAGGGGAAGGCAUCAUUAGUCCUUAUGGACUAUCUGGAGGAAUUUGGGGAAGCUUUACAGGGUUUCCCCUACCCAUGGGACCAGAGGGCUUGCUUUUCCUCUGUCCCAUCUUCCGGAGUGCCUUCUUACACACACCUCUACGCUUCCCUCAAUUCGUGGCCCAGCCCGUCGCCGGGUGUGGGAAACGCACUACUAUGAGGUCCACACUCACGUCGUCUCACAGAGACGUCUCACUCAUCACACUCCGGGAUCCCAACCCCAACCGAGCGGGCCCCGCUCCCUCUGAACGGAGCAACCUCAGUAGCCCCGAAGGACCACUGAAAGCCAUGGGCCCCCACUUAGGAUGAUGGCAUGCUCUACCCAAGGGGCUCUCUCAGCUCUGGUCUAACAGGUUGAAAUGAGGGAGAGCAGAAGCAGGUCCUAGAAGGCUGCCCAGCUACUCUCUUUCUCCAUGUGCAAAGAAAAUGCUGUGAUGCCACUUCAAUAAAAACCAAG